UUCGUACGUAGCAGAGCAGCUCCCUC
rnacentral:piRNA from 7 species